rnacentral:lncRNA from 1 species
AUUUCAAAUCAGCCCUAUUUUUUUCAUCUUUUCUCAACUCCGCCUCUCACUUGUCUCUCAUCACUUCUUCUCCUGCGAUACUCUUUUCCCCCUUAAUGGUAGUGGACGUCAUUGUCUCUGGAAGCACCACCGCAACCCUUUCGUGGUAAGGAGAACCUCGAUGUACUGGGUCCAGGGGCGGACCUGGGAGGGAUUAUAGGGGCAAUUGACCCUCUAGAUUUUGGGGAAAAAAAUUUCUUCCUUAGCUUUUUUUUAUUAGAAAAUACCCUAUAAAUUUUAUUUUUUACCCCCUGACCCAAGUCGUUUGGGUCCGUCCUAACUGGGUUUGCCCAGAAAACCUACAAUUAAUUGAUCGAUAGUUUGUUAAACGUUCGCCUCAAUUAGCAAAACGAAUGAUCAAAUCGUUGAGGUUCAUCUCCUCUCUCUCUCUCUCUCUCUCCCCCCCCCCCACCCCCCGAGAUCGGCAAGGUGCAAAUCUGCAAUCGAGAAUGAAUUACUGGGUGUAUGGAGAGUGGAAUCCCACCGGGAAGUUACUUCCAGUACUCUCCUUCUGGGGUUCAUGGUUCACUUGAAAGGUCUUCAUCUCUUACAGAUCGUGAAAGGUUUGGACUUUGACUUUCUUUUCUGAUUCCUUUAAUUUCCUUUAGUGUAAUUCAAUUUUUCUAUUUAACAUCAAUGUUUCUGUAUAUCCUUGAGGCUUUAAUCUUUGUUUUUUUGUUGAUGAGUUUAAAUCUGAGCAUAGUCAAAUACGGUUUUAGUAUUGUAUUUUCUGGUCAUUUUUCAACUUUACUCUGUAUCCUCUUGGUUGAAAUGUUUUUAAUUGCCUACAUUAUUUGCAAGUUGCGUGUGGUUUUAUCAUCGAUGACAUCUUCUAAUUCCUUUUACAGGCUAUAUUAUUAUGUGUGUUUACCAUUGAGUCACACUUAAUUUGAUUGUUACCUUAGGUUUAAAUGUUUCAUUUUUAAUUUUAAUUAUAUAUUUAAAAAAAGUAAAUCAGUUAAAAAUGAAUAAGCAGAAAAGAAUAACUGGCAAUUUAUCAUAUAAAACCAAGAAAUACUUUAAGCAAUAUCAGUUGGACCAAUAAUCUGAGUAUAUUCAAAAAGUACAUAAAUUUGGAUCCAAAUUUUGACAGCAGCAUAAUUUUCCUGAAUCUAGAUAUCAUGUAAUCUCACAAAUUACGAAAUAGCCAUGUUUAUGUAUGGUCUCUUUGAAACACCAUGGCAUCAUUACUUCAAGACUGAACAUCUCCUCUUCAUGGUGGCGCCUGCACCAUUAAUAUUGGCCACAAAAAUUCUGAAAAGUGAUUCAGUUUCAUAAUACAAUUUUCUCUUGCAUGAGAGUGCCGACUUCGCUUCCAUGGCGCCGGUGGGCGGUUCAGUGCUUCAGGGAUAGUAUUUGUUUAUUCAGGAGAUUUUGGGGUGCUACAGUACUCUUCGCCGUUGAUAAUUAUGCCAUUUUGAUCAUGUUCAUUCUUGAUCUUUAGCAUUGGGAACUGAAUUUCAAGCCCGAAUUCUUCGUCUGUGGACAUGACUUAAUUUGUGGGAUUUUUGCGGGAUGGUAGAAGAAGGUUUUGGAAGAGGUCGAUUGUGAAACAAUGGCUGAGUUUUACAUCAGUAUAUAAAUAGAGAGAGAGGGGUGGAAUAUAAAGGUAACUGAGAGAAAAAGAAGUGCUGGAUUUUUCUUACAAUUUAUAUAUAAAAUAUUGAACUUUCCUAAAAUGCAAUAUAUAUGUAAAGCAUUUGUCAAAACAUAUUUUUUAAUCUAAUUGUUUGUAUUAGAAGAUUGAUCCGUUUAUAGUUUAAUCAUCCUUAAGGAAUCAGAGAUAGUUUAAUAUUUUAUUGGUUCUUGAACUUUUUAAUUUGCUAUUGCAUUAUCUACCAUUAGAAUGUUGGAUUUGAUAAUUGAAAUAAAUGCCUAUUUGACUUUUUUACUAUAAUUGUAUAAGUUUAAUUCCUUUCCUGUUCAAGAUUUGAUUUUUAGCUAACUAAUCAAUUGACCAUGUGUUUGUUAUCAGUUAUUCAGUGUAACUUUUAUUUUACAACCUUUUUUGUACAUAAAAAUGAUCUCUUUCGAACACAUUGAAUACCGGCUUUAUUGGGAUUGCAGCUUAUCCAAAGGGUGAUUUCGAGCAUCAUUCCCAAUAAAAUUUCUCGAGCUGUGACUUGACCUAUAUUUGAACUCUGAGAUAACCUAGUGGAGCUGAUCUGACUCUAGCUGUAACUUGACCUAUAUUUGAACUCUGAGAUAACCUAGUGGAGCUGAUCUGCAGUUGUAGAUCCGAACUGAUAUCUUGACUGUUCUCACUUAUCAUGUUCCUCAUGCAUUGUUUUUCUUGAUUUUAAGACUCAUGAAUAGAAUAUUUGACCUUUGUACUUCACCAUAUAUAUUUAGCCUGAUUACACUAGUAACUUCUUAUAGAAAGGAAAAGAAUAUUGGCUUGCUACAUACUUUCUUCGAUUGAAUCUACUGACCUAAAAUUAUAAUUAUUAUUAUUUUAUUUGUACUUCAAUUCUUACUUCUAUUUAGAGCUAUCAAUAGAUUGGAUUUUGUUUAUAUACCUGUGAACUUUGAAGGUUAGCUCAUUCUUCAUAGUUUGGACUAGUCUAACAAUAUUUCUCAUUGAGCAUUCCCUAGUAUUUUAGCUGAUAUUAACUCAAUGUUUUUUCACUAUUUUUUAGGCCAAGCAGGAAAGCCUAUGUCAAUAAUGUCUCAGAUAGUUGAGUCAGGUCCUUUAGUAGCUUAUUUUUAAAUGCUUUGUGCUAUAAUAUUAAGAUAUUACAUGUGGUUGCCACAUCUUCCCCGAAAGUAACAAAUGUAAAAAUAAUUGGUAAAUUAAAGGAAGGAAGAUUAUUGUGACUGGUAUUGUCACUGAAGGAACUGAAGUAACUGGAAUAGAUGCUGAUUUGCGUAGGUCAAGCAUGGAAGUUGUCACAGUUGUUCAAUUACCUCUCAUUUUUUGAGAUUUCUUUGUGAAUUGUAUUUGAGAAAUUGUGACAAUUAGAAGCCGUGCUCCCUUUUUAGAUAGUGGUGUAUCACAUUUAAUGUUUUACUAUAUGAUUCAGAAAUUUGUAAUGAAAUUAUCAGAUUUAUGCAAUUUCAAAAUUUGUUCAUUUGGA